AUUGAACGCUGGCUGAAGGCCUAACACAUGCAAGUCGAACGAGUGGCGGACGGGUGAGUACUGUCUGGGAAACUGCCUGAUGGAGGGGGAUAACUACUGGAAACGGUAUAUAAUAACGAAUACCAUCGGAUGUGCCCAUAUGGGAUUAGCUAGUAGGUGGGGUAAAGGCGCACCUAGGAGACGAUCCCUAGCUGGUCUGAGAGGAUGACCAGCCACACUGGAACUUAGACACGGCACAGACUCUGACGGGAGUCAGCCGUGGGGAAUAUUGCCCAAUGGGCGCAAGCCUGAUACAUCCAUGCCUCGUGUAUGAAUAAGGCCUUCGGGGUGUAAAGUACUUUCAGCGGUGAGGCGUUACCCGCAGAAGAAGCACCGGCUAACUCCGUGCCAGCAGCCGCGGUAAUAC
rnacentral:rRNA from 1 species